rnacentral:rRNA from 1 species
CCUACGGGAGGCUGCAGUGAGGAAUAUUGGUCACUGGCCGGAAGGCUGAACCAGCCAUGCCGCGUGAAGGUCAGUGCCCUAUGGGCGUUAAACUUCUUUUGUGCGGGAGCAAUAAUGGUCACGUGUGGCCAGACGAGAGUACCGUACGAAUAAGCAUCGGCUAACUCCGUGCCAGCAGCCGCGGUAAUACGGGGGAUGCAAGCGUUAUCCGGCUGUAUUGGGUUUAAAGGGUGCGUAGGCUGUUAGGUAAGUCAGCGGUGAAAUGCCCCCGCUCAACGGGGUGAAGUGCCAUUGAUACUGCCUGGCUGGAAUGCGGAUGCCGUGGGAGGAAUGUGUGGUGUAGCGGUGAAAUGCAUAGAUAUCACACAGAACACCGAUUGCGAAGGCAUCUCACGAAUCCGCGAUUGACGCUGAUGCACGAAAGCGUGGGUAUCAAACAGGAUUAGAUACCCCAGUAGUC